AGUGAACGCUGGCGGCAGGCCUAACACAUGCAAGUCGAGCGGCAGCGCGGGGCAACCUGGCGGCGAGCGGCGGACGGGUGAGGAAUGCAUCGGAAUCUACCCUGUCGUGGGGAUAACGUAGGGAAACUUACGCUAAUACCGCAUACGACCGAGAGAUGAAAGUGGGGGAGCCGCAAGGGCCUCACGCGCAUUGGAUGAGCCGAUGCCGGACUUAGCUAGUUGGUGGGGUAAAGGCCCACCAGGCGAGUCCGUAGCUGGUCUGAGAGGAUGAUCAGCCACACUGGGACUGAGACACGGCCCAGACUCCUACGGGAGGCAGCAGUGGGGAAUAUUGACAAUGGGCGCAAGCCUGAUCCAGCCAUGCCGCGUGUGUGAAGAAGGCCUUCGGGUUGUAAAGCACUUUGUUCGGGAAGAAAUCGUGCGGAUUAAUACUUCGUACGGAUGACGGUACCGAAAGAAU
rnacentral:rRNA from 1 species